rnacentral:rRNA from 1 species
UACGAAGGGGGCUAGCGUUGCUCGGAAUGACUGGGCGUAAAGGGCGCGUAGGCGGUGUACACAGUCAGGCGUGAAAUUCCCGGGCUCAACCUGGGGGCUGCACUUGAUACGUAUGGACUGGAGUGGGGAAGAGGGUCGUGGAAUUCCCAGUGUAGAGGUGAAAUUCGUAGAUAUUGGGAAGAACACCGGUGGCGAAGGCGGCGACCUGGUCCGGUACUGACGCUGAGGUGCGAAAGCGUGGGGAGCAAACAGG